CCAGACUCCUACGGGAGGCAGCAGUAGGGAAUCUUCGGCAAUGGACGAAAGUCUGACCGAGCAACGCCGCGUGAGUGAAGAAGGUUUUCGGAUCGUAAAGCUCUGUUGUAAGAGAAGAACGGGUGUGAGAGUGGAAAGUUCACACUGUGACGGUAUCUUACCAGAAAGGGACGGCUAACUACGUGCCAGCAGCCGCGGUAAUACGUAGGUCCCGAGCGUUGUCCGGAUUUAUUGGGCGUAAAGCGAGCGCAGGCGGUUAGAUAAGUCUGAAGUUAAAGGCUGUGGCUUAACCAUAGUACGCUUUGGAAACUGUUUAACUUGAGUGCAGAAGGGGAGAGUGGAAUUCCAUGUGUAGCGGUGAAAUGCGUAGAUAUAUGGAGGAACACCGGUGGCGAAAGCGGCUCUCUGGUCUGUAACUGACGCUGAGGCUCGAAAGCGUGGGGAGCGAACAGGAUUAGAUACCCUGGUAGUCCACGCCGUAAACGAUGAGUGCUAGGUGUUAGGCCCUUUCCGGGGCUUAGUGCCGCAGCUAACGCAUUAAGCACUCCGCCUGGGGAGUACGACCGCAAGGUUGAAACUCAAGGAAUUGACGGGGGCCCGCACAAG
rnacentral:rRNA from 1 species